rnacentral:tRNA from 1 species
GAUUAUUUAGUUUAUUUAAAACAUGUGUCUUGAAAAUACAAGAAAAGAAAAUUUCUUAAUAAUCG